CCCAGCGGUAGGCAGCUGCCUAGGUUGACCUGUACCUAGGUAAGUGUUACACUGCUGGGAGAGAAGCAGCCGACAGCUGGUUGGCAUUCUGGGCCUGGUUCAUGCCAACUCUGUUAUUAACUAUACCGGGAUGCCAGCAUA
rnacentral:snoRNA from 1 species